CGGCGCCAGGCACACAUCCGGGAGCGGCUGGCGCCGCACGGCACUAUGGGGUAUGUAGGCCAGAGUCGCCUCUCCCGAGGCUGCUGCCAGCGCCAGGACUACAAUCCCCAGAAUGAACGGCGCGACAACUCUUCGCGCGCGCUUCAGAGGCGGGACCUCGCCUAGAGAGUGGAGCAUGCAAGCUGAGUGAGGAGAAGCACAGUGGUAGGCGGAGUCCUGCCACCUGCUCUCACCGCCCUUAAACUCUCCGCGUCUGGAGCUACGCUGAAAACAGGAAAACGUGACGGCGUGUUUUGCUCGUGAAAGUUCUCUCAGUCUUCGGUUUUACUCCCCGCCUCCGGCGCAGGGCUAACUUUCCCCACCCGUCCGGGAGGGUCAAGGCGACUACCAGUCGUACAAGUGGAGGCUCACAAACUUCCAGGGCUGGCGGGUUGCUGAGGUGCCGCACCGGCCUCGCGGACGCGGGACACACUCUGUUCCAAGUCCCUAGCUGCUCAGUGGCUGGAGUCUCUCUCCUGCAGCCCCAAUAAUGAAUCGAGGUUCUUCUGUUUAGUGUGAGACAGAAUACGCUUCCUCUCGCGGGGACUCGAGCAGCGGAAUUAAUCAAAAGACAAGUUGAACUAUCAGAUGUGCUAUGGAUAACCUUAAUGUCAACAACAACUUGUUAGAUGCAUAAAAGAAAAUGAUUUAGAAAGUCCCGAGCAAGUGAAACCCGGAAAUGUGCUGGCAGCCUCCUGUGCUGGAGGUGGGGGGCAGACAACUGCUAUCCAGGGCUUCUGACAGUGAAAGUGGAGUGAGAGAGGCAUAUGUCCCUGCUGGGG